CUGGCUCAGGAUGAACGCUAGCUACAGGCUUAACACAUGCAAGUCAGGGGCAGCAUUGGAGUAGCAAUACUCAGAUGGCGACCGGCGCACGGGUGAGUAACACGUAUCCAACCUGCCGCUUACUCGGGGAUAGCCUUUCGAAAGAAAGAUUAAUACCCGAUGGUAUAAAGAGUUCGCAUGUUCUCUUUAUUAAAGAAUUUCGGUAAGCGAUGGGGAUGCGUUCCAUUAGAUAGUUGGCGGGGUAACGGCCCACCAAGUCUACGAUGGAUAGGGGUUCUGAGAGGAAGGUCCCCCACAUUGGAACUGAGACACGGUCCAAACUCCUACGGGAGGCAGCAGUGAGGAAUAUUGGUCAAUGGACGAGAGUCUGAACCAGCCAAAAGUAGCGUGAAGGAUGACUGCCCUAUGGGUUGUAAACUUCUUUUAUAAGGGAAUAAAGUGAGGGACGUGUCCCUUUUUGUAUGUACCUUAUGAAUAAGGAUCGGCUAACUCCGUGCCAGCCGCGGC
rnacentral:rRNA from 1 species